UUAUUAAAGGAUUCCGGUAAAGGAUGGGGAUGCGUUCCAUUAGGUUGUUGGUGAGGUAACGGCUCACCAAGCCUUCGAUGGAUAGGGGUUCUGAGAGGAAGGUCCCCCACAUUGGAACUGAGACACGGUCCAAACUCCUACGGGAGGCAGCAGUGAGGAAUAUUGGUCAAUGGGCGCUAGCCUGAACCAGCCAAGUAGCGUGAAGGAUGAAGGCUCUAUGGGUCGUAAACUUCUUUUAUAUAAGAAUAAAGUGCAGUAUGUAUACUGUUUUGUAUGUAUUAUAUGAAUAAGGAUCGGCUAACUCCGUGCCAGCAGCCGCGGUAAUACGGAGGAUCCGAGCGUUAUCCGGAUUUAUUGGGUUUAAAGGGAGCGUAGGUGGACUGGUAAGUCAGUUGUGAAAGUUUGCGGCUCAACCGUAAAAUUGCAGUUGAUACUGUCAGUCUUGAGUACAGUAGAGGUGGGCGGAAUUCGUGGUGUAGCGGUGAAAUGCUUAGAUAUCACGAAGAACUCCGAUUGCGAAGGCAGCUCACUGGACUGCAACUGACACUGAUGCUCGAAAGUGUGGGUAUCAAACAGGAUUAGAUACCCUGGUAGUCCACACAGUAAACGAUGAAUACUCGCUGUUUGCGAUAUACAGUAAGCGGCCAAGCGAAAGCAUUAAGUAUUCCACCUGGGGAGUACGCCGGCAACGGUGAAACUCAAAGGAAUUGACGGGGGCCCGCACAAGCGGAGGAACAUGUGGUUUAAUUCGAUGAUACGCGAGGAACCUUACCCGGGCUUAAAUUGCAGUGGAAUGAUGUGGAAACAUGUCAGUGAGCAAUCACCGCUGUGAAGGUGCUGCAUGGUUGUCGUCAGCUCGUGCCGUGAGGUGUCGGCUUAAGUGCCAUAACGAGCGCAACCCUUAUCUUCAGUUACUAACAGGUCAUGCUGAGGACUCUGGAGAGACUGCCGUCGUAAGAUGUGAGGAAGGUGGGGAUGACGUCAAAUCAGCACGGCCCUUACGUCCGGGGCUACACACGUGUUACAAUGGGGGGUACAGAAGGCAGCUAGCGGGUGACCGUAUGCUAAUCCCGAAAUCCUCUCUCAGUUCGGAUCGAAGUCUGCAACCCGACUUCGUGAAGCUGGAUUCGCUAGUAAUCGCGCAUCAGCCACGGCGCGGUGAAUACGUUCCCGGGCCUUGUACACACCGCCCGUCAAGCCAUGGGAGCCGGGGGUACCUGAAGUACGUAACCGCAAGGAUCGUCC
rnacentral:rRNA from 1 species